rnacentral:rRNA from 1 species
CGGAGGGUGCGAGCGUUAUCCGGAUUUACUGGGUUUAAAGGGUGUGUAGGCGGAUCUUUAAGUCAGUGGUGAAAUCUUCAGGCUCAACCUGGAAACUGCCAUUGAUACUAUUGAUCUUGAAUACUGUGGAGGUGAGCGGAAUGUGUCAUGUAGCGGUGAAAUGCAUAGAGAUGACACAGAACACCGAUUGCGAAGCAGCUCACUACGCAGUUAUUGACGCUGAGGCACGAAAGCGUGGGGAUCAAACAGGAUUAGAUACCCUGGUAGUCCACGCCCUAAACGAUGAUUACUCGACAUUGGCGAUAAGACUGAUCAGUGUCUGAGCGAAAGCAUUAAGUAAUCCACCUGGGAAGUACGUCCGCAAGGAUG